CCUACGGGAGGCAGCAGUGAGGAAUAUUGGUCAAUGGACGAGAGUCUGAACCAGCCAAGUAGCGUGAAGGAUGACUGCCCUAUGGGUUGUAAACUUCUUUUAUAAAGGAAUAAAACGAGGCACGUGUGCCUUUUUGCAUGUACUUUAUGAAUAAGGAUCGGCUAACUCCGUGCCAGCAGCCGCGGUAAUACGGAGGAUCCGAGCGUUAUCCGGAUGUAUUGGGUGUAAAGGGAGCGUAGAUGGGUUGUUAAGUCAGUUGUGAAAGUUUGCGGCUCAACCGGAAAAUUGCAAUUGAUACUGGCAGUCUUGAGUACAGUUGAGGUAGGCGGAAUUCGUGGUGUAGCGGUGAAAUGCUUAGAUAUCACGAAGAACCCCGAUUGCGAAGGCAGCUUACUAAACUGUGACUGACAUUGAUGCGCGAAAGUGUGGGUAUCAAACAGGAUUAGAUACCCCUGUAGUC
rnacentral:rRNA from 1 species